GCCCCCGUCGUCCAGCGGCCCAGGACGCCGCCCUUUCAAGGCGGUAACGGGGAUUCGAAUUCCCCCGGGGGCA
rnacentral:tRNA from 1 species